rnacentral:misc_RNA from 1 species
GUCCUUUGUGUUCAAUCCCGGUGAAAGUUUGCCAGGAAGAGCAUUAGCAAAUGAAGAAACCAUCUGGUUGUGCAAUGCUCAAUAUGCAGAUAGUAAAGUAUUCUCUCUUUGCUUGCAAAGAGUGCAUCUAUUCAGACUGUGGUAUGUUUUCCCCACCUUGAGGGAGUAAUUGAGCUAGGUGUAGCUGAGCUGGUUGCAGAGGAUCCCAAUCUAAUUCAACACAUCAAGGCCUGUUUAUUAGAAUUCUCCAAGCCUGUUUGUGCUGAAAAAUCUUCUUCUGCUACUCAGAGUGCAGAUGAUGAUAAAGACCCAGCAUGCGCUCAACUUGACAAUGAAAAAGUAGAUGCAAUGGCAGUUCUGGAGGACCUGCAAAAUCCCACAGAAGAUAUCAUAUUUAACCAAGAGGGAAUUGAUGAAUUGCAUGGAAAUAUGCAUGAAGAAUUAAACAUGGACUCUUCUGAUGGUUCUUCAAAUGGCUGUGUGCAGAAUCACCGGACUGAAGACUUCUUGCUUGAACAUUUAAAUGGUGGGAUUUCUCGCAUUCAAAGUUGGCAUUUCACAGAUUAUGAAUUAAGCAAUGGUGUUCAAGAUUCUGCCAAUUCCAGUAAUCGUAAAUCUGAAGUUAUUGCGAGUGAUGAAAUCACUCUCUCUGGUCUCAAGGACCAAAAUGUAAGCCACCUUCAGUUGAAAGAACUUCAAGAAGGCAACCGCAGCAAAUUGAGUUCCUUUGAUCUUGGAGCCAGUGAUAACUUGCUCUACAAAAGAACUCUAUCUAUGGUCAUGAGAAGUUCAACCCAGUGGAUUGGAAAUUC